rnacentral:tRNA from 1 species
GGGGAUGUGGCUCAGUGGUAGAGUGCUUGCCAGCAUGCACAAGGCCCUGGGUUUUAACCCCAGCAUCACAA